rnacentral:rRNA from 1 species
CGCUGGCGGCGUGCCUAAUACAUGCAAGUCGAACGGUCUUUUCUAUGGAAGCUUGCUUCCACUGAGAAGAUAGUGGCGAACGGGUGAGUAACACGUGGGUAACCUGCCCAUAAGAGGGGGAUAACAUCCGGAAACGGGUGCUAAUACCGCAUAGUUUUCUUGAUCGCAUGAUCGGGAAAGGAAAGACGGCCUUUGUGCUGUCGCUUAUGGAUGGACCCGCGGCGUAUUAGUUAGUUGGUGAGGUAACGGCUCACCAAGACGAUGAUACGUAGCCGACCUGAGAGGGUGAUCGGCCACAUUGGGACUGAGACACGGCCCAAACUCCUACGGGAGGCAGCAGUAGGGAAUCUUCCGCAAUGGACGAAAGUCUGACGGAGCAACGCCGCGUGAGUGAAGAAAAGGUUUUUCGGAUCGUAAAACUCUGUUGUCAGAGAAGAACAAGUUGGAGAGUAACUGCUCCAGCCUUGACGGUAUCUGACCAGAAAGCCACGGCUAACUACGUGCCAGCCGCCGC